UAAGAGUAAACGCACUGUAUUUAGAGAAAAGAACAUAGUAUCGUAAAAGUCGUAGAGUAAUAGUAACGCGCAUCAACCCACACCUACCAGAGACGUUACCACCACCACAACAAGGAUCCACAUCAAUACAAGUUUUGAAACAGGAAGAUGAAGUUCUGGGUGAGAAGGUUGGCAAGAAAAACUCAAAUCAAACCUAGAUUCUUAAAUUCACAGAUUAAAUCAAUGUUAAUUGUUUUACUUAUUUGGCUGCCAGGCGGUGUUGUGCAAGAAAAUUUCGUGCUUGAAGGUCGUACAACAAAUGCACAAUACUAAAAACAAAUAAUGGACCGCCUUAUCUAGGGUGGAUUAGACAUGAUUGUCCCUCUUCCAUAUUUCAGUCACGCGAUUUUUUUUCUACUGCACGCUAAUGCUUCAUCUGAUGCCGGUCUAGUUAUGAUUACUUUUUGGCACAGAAUGACGUCACUACCCUUCAUCAUCCAUUAAUCGCUAUAUGUCUAUAUCUAUUGGUUCAAAUCUAUUUAUGUUUCUUAAAUUAAAAUUGUAAUUGAAAGAAUAAAAUCAGUUUCCAACGCUUGGAACAUUUCGUUGAUUUAAGGAACUGUGAUAGAAGAACAAAAAUCAGUUAUUAAAUCACAGGUACCUAUGUAGUUAUCAUUUCUUACAAAAUGUAAAUAAUUGUAUUAAAAUGUUCAUUAAAAUAAAAAAUUGUAUUUUAGA